UGUGUGCAGGAGAGGAGUCGAGCAGAGAGAGCUGCUUUUUCAUGAAACGGGAGUAAAGUAGUGAACUUAGAGGAGAGAAACAAACUAAAGUAUCGAUCAUAAACCACUACCAACGUCCUGAUCGAUAUCUGCAUCGAUCUGCCCACCCUUGUCUCCUGGAUCGUAGCUGAGAUCAGCGUGAACCACGUGGGUCUCUGCUCCCUGAUCUGUUUCCUGUGUUUGGAAAGAGUUGCAGCUUCAUCGCGGAGUUUCUCUCGGUUUGUGGGCUCAUCUAAAGGGAUAAAAUACAUAUCUAUACUUUUGUGUCCCAGCUGAGUAACAGGAGGAGAAGAGUCUGGUGGAGCAGCAGAGGAACAGUUUCAGCCAUUUGGGCUCAGCUCAGCCACUACAGAGGAAACGAUGACUUCAACACAGGAGGACCAACAUGGAGCGAGAAGUCAGCGCUCUCAGGAGGCCG